rnacentral:rRNA from 1 species
CCUACGGGAGGCUGCAGUGGGUAAUAUUGGACAAUGGGCGAAAGCCUGAUCCAGCCAUGCCGCGUGUGUGAAGAAGGCCUUCGGGUUGUAAAGCACUUUCAGUGGGGAAGAAAGCCUUGGGGCUAAUACCCUCGAGGAAGGACAUCACCCACAGAAGAAGCACCGGCUAACUCCGUGCCAGCAGCCGCGGUAAUACGGAGGGUGCGAGCGUUAAUCGGAAUUACUGGGCGUAAAGCGCGCGUAGGCGGUCUGAUAAGCCGGUUGUGAAAGCCCCGGGCUCAACCUGGGAACGGCAUCCGGAACUGUCAGGCUAGAGUGCAGGAGAGGAAGGUAGAAUUCCCGGUGUAGCGGUGAAAUGCGUAGAGAUCGGGAGGAAUACCAGUGGCGAAGGCGGCCUUCUGGACUGACACUGACGCUGAGGUGCGAAAGCGUGGGUAGCAAACAGGAUUAGAUACCCCAGUAGUC